rnacentral:rRNA from 1 species
AUGCAAGUCGAACGGCAGCGCGGGGCAACCUGGCGGCGAGUGGCGAACGGGUGAGUAAUAUAUCGGAACGUACCCAAGAGUGGGGGAUAACGUAGCGAAAGUUACGCUAAUACCGCAUACGAUCUAAGGAUGAAAGCAGGGGAUCUUCGGACCUUGUGCUCCUGGAGCGGCCGAUAUCUGAUUAGCUAGUUGGUGAGGUAAAGGCUCACCAAGGCCACGAUCAGUAGCUGGUCUGAGAGGACGACCAGCCACACUGGAACUGAGACACGGUCCAGACUCCUACGGGAGGCAGCAGUGGGGAAUUUUGGACAAUGGGCGAAAGCCUGAUCCAGCAAUGCCGCGUGAGUGAAGAAGGCCUUCGGGUUGUAAAGCUCUUUUGUCAGGGAAGAAACGGUGAGGGCUAAUAUCCUUCGCUAAUGACGGUACCUGAAGAAUAAGCACCGGCUAACUACGUGCCAGCAGCCGCGGUAAUACGUAGGGUGCAAGCGUUAAUCGGAAUUACUGGGCGUAAAGCGUGCGCAGGCGGUUUUGUAAGUCUGACGUGAAAUCCCCGGGCUCAACCUGGGAAUUGCGUUGGAGACUGCAAGGCUAGAAUCUGGCAGAGGGGGGUAGAAUUCCACGUGUAGCAGUGAAAUGCGUAGAGAUGUGGAGGAACACCGAUGGCGAAGGCAGCCCCCUGGGUCAAGAUUGACGCUCAUGCACGAAAGCGUGGGGAGCAAACAGGAUUAGAUACCCUGGUAGUCCACGCCCUAAACGAUGUCUACUAGUUGUCGGGUUUUAAUUAACUUGGUAACGCAGCUAACGCGUGAAGUAGACCGCCUGGGGAGUACGGUCGCAAGAUUAAAACUCAAAGGAAUUGACGGGGACCCGCACAAGCGGUGGAUGAUGUGGAUUAAUUCGAUGCAACGCGAAAAACCUUACCUACCCUUGACAUGUACGGAAGACCGAAGAGAUUUGGUUGUGCUCGAAAGAGAACCGUAACACAGGUGCUGCAUGGCUGUCGUCAGCUCGUGUCGUGAGAUGUUGGG